UGACGCUCAUGUACGAAAGCGUGGGUAGCAAACAGGAUAGAUACCCUGGUAGUCACGCCUAAACGAUGUCAACUGGUGUGGGGAGUGAAAUCCUUAGUAACGAAGCUAACGCGUGAAGUUGACCGCCUGGGAGUACGGUCGCAAGAUUAAAACUCAAAGGAAUUGACGGGGACCCGCACAAGCGGUGGAUGAUGUGGAUUAAUUCGAUGCAACGCGAAAAACCUUACCUACCCUUGACAUGUCCGGAAUCCUGCUGAGAGGUGGGAGUGCCCGAAAGGGAGUCGGAACACAGGUGCUGCAUGGCUGUCGUCAGCUCGUGUCGUGAGAUGUUGGGUUAAGUCCCGCAACGAGCGCAACCCUUAUCAUUAGUUGCUACGCAAGGGCACUCUAAUGAGACUGCCGGUGACAAACCGGAGGAAGGUGGGGAUGACGUCAAGUCCUCAUGGCCCUUAUGGGUAGGGCUUCACACGUCAUACAAUGGUCGGUACAGAGGGUUGCCAAGCCGCGAGGUGGAGCCAAUCCCAGAAAGCCGAUCGUAGUCCGGAUUGUUCUCUGCAACUCGAGAGCAUGAAGUCGGAAUCGCUAGUAAUCGCGGAUCAGCAUGUCGCGGUGAAUACGUUCCCGGGUCUUGUACACACCGCCCGUCACACCAUGGGAGUGGAAUCUGGCAGAAGUAGGUAGCCUAACCGCAAGGAGGGCGCUUACCACGCUGGGUUUCAUGACUGGGGUGAAGUCGUAACAAGGUAACCGUAA
rnacentral:rRNA from 1 species